rnacentral:misc_RNA from 1 species
UUGAAUAAACUUGAUGGGUUGUUGCUGGCUUUCCAGAAAGCAUGUGCACGCCUGUCAUCUUUAUCCAUCCACCUGUGCACCUUUUGUAGUCUUGGAGGUAACACGCGUGAAAACGCAAGUUUCUCCGAGUCUAUGUAUUUCAUAUAUACCACAAAUGUUUUUUGAAUGUUGUCAUUAGGUCUCAGUGCCUAUAAAACAAAUA